rnacentral:rRNA from 1 species
UACAGAGGUCUCAAGCGUUGUUCGGAUUCAUUGGGCGUAAAGGGUGCGUAGGUGGCGCCGUAAGUCGGGUGUGAAAUUUCGGAGCUUAACUCCGAAACUGCAUUCGAUACUGCGGUGCUUGAGGACUGGAGAGGAGACUGGAAUUCAUGGUGUAGCAGUGAAAUGCGUAGAGAUCAUGAGGAAGACCAGUGGCGAAGGCGGCUCACUGGUCCGGUACUGACGCUGAGGAGCGAAAGCGUGGGUAGCGAACAGG